rnacentral:rRNA from 1 species
AUGAACGCUGGCGGCGUGCCUAAUACAUGCAAGUCGAGCGAACAGACGAGGAGCUUGCUCCUCUGACGUUAGCGGCGGACGGGUGAGUAACACGUGGAUAACCUACCUAUAAGACUGGGAUAACUUCGGGAAACCGGAGCUAAUACCGGAUAAUAUAUUGAACCGCAUGGUUCAAUAGUGAAAGACGGUUUUGCUCUCACUUAUAGAUGGAUCCGCGCCGCAUUAGCUAGUUGGUAAGGUAACGGCUUACCAAGGCAACGAUGCGUAGCCGACCUGAGAGGGUGAUCGGCCACACUGGAACUGAGACACGGUCCAGACUCCUACGGGAGGCAGCAGUAGGGAAUCUUCCGCAAUGGGCGAAAGCCUGACGGAGCAACGCCGCGUGAGUGAUGAAGGUCUUCGGAUCGUAAAACUCUGUUAUUAGGGAAGAACAAAUGUGUAAGUAACUAUGCACGUCUUGACGGUACCUAAUCAGAAAGCCACGGCUAACUACGUG